rnacentral:rRNA from 1 species
UACAACAUAGCGUUAACGCACCAGAUCCCAUUAGAACUCCAUAGUUAAGUGUGCUUGACCUAGAGUAGUACUGGGAUGGGUGACCAUCUGAGAAGUCCUAGUGUUUUAC